CCGCCGGCGACCGGCGCACGGGUGAGUAACACGUAUGCAACCUGGCCGUGACAGAUGGAUAACCGGGAGAAAUCCCGCCUAAUACAACAUAAUGCCGGGAGGGGACAUCCCCUGCCGGCCAAAGGGGGCGACCCCGGUCACGGAUGGGCAUGCGGCGCAUUAGGUAGUUGGUAGGGUAACGGCCUACCAAGCCGACGAUGCGUAGGGGUUCUGAGAGGAAGGUCCCCCACAUUGGAACUGAGACACGGUCCAAACUCCUACGGAAGGCAGCAG
rnacentral:rRNA from 1 species